rfam:Triticum urartu cultivar G1812 contig756238, whole genome shotgun sequence.
AAAAUACUCCCUCCGUCCGAAAAUACUUGUCGGUGAGAUGGAUGUAUCUAGAUGUAUUUAGUUCUAGAUACAUUAGUUUUUAUCCAUGUCUCCGACAAGUAUUUCCGGACGGAGGGAGUAUACA